GGCUCUGUGGCGCAACGGACGGCGCGUUGGACUUCUAGUCGAGCGCUUGAGAGGGGAUUCAAAGGUUGUGGGUUCGAGUCCCACCAGAGUCG
rfam:Tetraodon nigroviridis chromosome 15 SCAF14542, whole genome shotgun sequence.